rnacentral:rRNA from 1 species
UGGCUCAGAUUGAACGCUGGCGGCAUGCCUUACACAUGCAAGUCGAACGGCAGCACGGAGCUUGCUCUGGUGGCGAGUGGCGAACGGGUGAGUAAUAUAUCGGAACGUACCCUGGAGUGGGGGAUAACGUAGCGAAAGUUACGCUAAUACCGCAUACGAUCCAUGGAUGAAAGCAGGGGACCUUCGGGCCUUGUGCUCCUGGAGCGGCCGAUAUCUGAUUAGCUAGUUGGUGGGGUAAAGGCCUACCAAGGCAUCGAUCAGUAGCUGGUCUGAGAGGACGACCAGCCACACUGGAACUGAGACACGGUCCAGACUCCUACGGGAGGCAGCAGUGGGGAAUUUUGGACAAUGGGCGCAAGCCUGAUCCAGCAAUGCCGCGUGAGUGAAGAAGGCCUUCGGGUUGUAAAGCUCUUUUGUCAGGGAAGAAACGGGAGUGGCUAAUAUCUGUUCCUAAUGACGGUACCUGAAGAAUAAGCACCGGCUAACUACGUG